rnacentral:rRNA from 1 species
GACGAACGCUGGCGGCGUGCCUAAUACAUGCAAGUAGAACGCACAGUUUAUACCGUAGCUUGCUACACCAUAAACUGUGAGUUGCGAACGGGUGAGUAACGCGUAGGUAACCUGCCUGGUAGCGGGGGAUAACUAUUGGAAACGAUAGCUAAUACCGCAUAAUAUUAAUUAUUGCAUGAUAAUUGAUUGAAAGAUGCAAUUGCAUCACUACCAGAUGGACCUGCGUUGUAUUAGCUAGUAGGUGAGGUAACGGCUCACCUAGGCGACGAUACAUAGCCGACCUGCGAGGGUGAUCGGCCACACUGGGACUGAGACACGGCCCAGACUCCUACGGGAGGCAGCAGUAGGGAAUCUUCGGCAAUGGACGAAAGUCUGACCGAGCAACGCCGCGUGAGUGAAGAAGGUUGUCGGAUCGUAAAGCUCUGUUGUAAGAGAAGAACGGGUGUGAGAGUGGAAAGUUCACACUGUGACGGUAUCUUACCAGAAAGGGACGGCUAACUACGUG